rnacentral:rRNA from 1 species
UAUUAGGCUUCGGGGAUACUGCCAGACUUGGAACCGGGAGAGGUAAGAGGUACUACAGGGGUAGGAGUGAAAUCUUGUAAUCCCUGUGGGACCACCUGUGGCGAAGGCGUCUUACCAGAACGGGUUCGACGGUGAGGGACGAAAGCUGGGGCACGAACCGGAUUAGAUACUCGGGUAGUCCCAGCCGUAAACGAUGCUCGCUAGGUGUCAGGCAUGGCGCGACCGUGUCUGGUGCCGCAGGGAAGCCGUGAAGCGAGCCACCUGGGAAGUACGGCCGCAAGGCUGAAACUUAAAGGAAUUGGCGGGGAGCACAACAACGGGUGGAGCCUUGCGGUUUAAUUGGACUCAACGCCGGACAACUCACCGGGGCGACAGCAAUAUGUAGGCCAAGCUGAAGACUUUGCCUGAAUCGCUGAGAGUAGUGGUGCAUGG